AAAACCCAUCAUUCUAUAUUAAAAGUUGCAAAAGAAAAUGAUUUGCUUUUCGCUACCUACAGAUUCUUAAUCUUAUCACAACAGCUCAUUUCUCCCACUCUCUCCCCGCCACUCAUGAGUCGUCAACGCCUCGUCCCCUUCUGCCAAUUUACGCUAAUACCCAUCGGACCCACAGAAGAAACCAAAACAAAAAACAAAAAGGGAAAAAAGCGAAAAUACCGCACCUGCCAGCUCCCACCACUACUACCGGCAUUUCCCAGUUGCCCGUAACUUUCCGUUACAGCACUGCCCCUGCUCGCACGUAUUUAGCUCCUCCACCCGCUUCUUCUCUCAUUUGAUUAGACACCGAUCGGGCCGAAAGAAAAAGAAAAUACGCAAACAGAGUUAGGGUUUCCAACUGCUGAAUCUCAAUCCCACAUGGCUACUGCCGAAGCAGAUGCAGAUCAUAUGGCACGGCGGCGAGACGCCGUCGCCUCCUACCCAAUCCCAGAAGAAACUUCUUCAAACUCACUUUUGGCCGGUUCUCGAUGUUGCUUCGCCUUCCCCUGCUGCUUCGG
rnacentral:lncRNA from 1 species